UACGUAGGGGGCAAGCGUUGUCCGGAAUCAUUGGGCGUAAAGAGCGUGUAGGCGGUCCGGUAAGUCGGCUGUGAAAGUCCAGGGCUCAACCCUGGGAUGCCGGUCGAUACUGCCGGACUAGAGUUCGGAAGAGGCGAGUGGAAUUCCCGGUGUAGCGGUGAAAUGCGCAGAUAUCGGGAGGAACACCUAUGGCGAAGGCAGCAAACUGGUCAUCAACUGACGCUGAGGCGCGAAAGCGUGGGUAGCAAACAGG
rnacentral:rRNA from 1 species